GACGAACGCUGGCGGCGUGCUUAACACAUGCAAGUCGAACGGAAAGGCCCUGCUUUUGCGGGGUGCUCGAGUGGCGAACGGGUGAGUAACACGUGAGUAUCCUGCCCUUGACUUUGGGAUAACUUCAGGAAACUGGGGCUCAUACCCGAUAGGAGCUCCUGCUGCAUGGUGGGGGUUGGAAAGUUUCGGCGGUUGGGGAUGGACUCGCGGCUUAUCCGCUUGUUGGUGGGGUAGUGGCUUACGAAGGGUUUGACGGGUAGCCGGCCUGGGAGGGUGACCGGCGACAAGGGGACUGAGAUAGGGACCAGAAGCGUACGGGAGGCAGCGGGGGGGAAUAUUGCGGAGUGGGCGGAAGCGUGAGGCAGCGACGCCGCGUGCGGGAUGACGGCUUUCGAGGUGUAAACCACUGUGGACGGUGACGAAGCGGGAGUGACGGUAAUGGGUAAGAAAGCAACGGCUAACUACGUG
rnacentral:rRNA from 1 species